rnacentral:rRNA from 1 species
UACGUAGGGUGCGAGCGUUAAUCGGAUUUACUGGGCGUAAAGCGAGCGCAGGCGGCCCGUUAAGACAGGUGUGAAAUCCCUGGGCUCAACCUAGGAAUUGCGCUUGUGACUGGCGGGCUCGAGUACGGUAGAGGGGGGUGGAAUUCCUGGUGUAGCAGUGAAAUGCGUAGAGAUCAGGAGGAACACCGAUGGCGAAGGCAGGCCCCUGGGCCUGUACUGACGCUCAUGCACGAAAGCGUGGGGAGCAAACAGG